GUGCUCGAUUUGGCAGCACAUAUACUAAAAUUGCGAUGAUACAGAUUAGCACAGUCCUGUGCAAAGACACACAAAUCGUGAAGCGUUCCACUUCACA
rnacentral:snRNA from 1 species